UUUGCCUCUCCUACCCAUUGUGCAUGUCCUACCAAAAUUUUUCUUCAAUUUCGUGUAUCGUUUGCUGUGAUUCUGCUGUGUGUCAUCACCUAUCAACUCGUCUUGCCGAACAUCGCUUUGUCGAAUGUCUUGCCGAACGUUGCGCCGUUUAGUGGUUGUGGCUGAACGUCGUCUUCCGUCUUUGGCUGUAUUGAGUUCGUCGUCCAUCUUGCUCGACGAUCCAUUGUUCUUUGUCGUAGUUCAAUCUUGAAGUCUAGAGGCUUGUGAGUGCUAAGCACAACAAGAUUAAGGACGUUGGCUGUAGAUUUGUAUCAGUUUGGAACCUAUUCAAACACGAACCAACAAAUGAAAGCAGUUUUAAAGGGAAAUUUGGAAGUCCUAAGUAACAUGUUAUUGUUUCAUUAUCUUGUCAAUGCCCUUGAAAGAGAUUUAGUGCCUCAAAGUCAGAUGAACAAAGAAACCAUGAACUGGAUUCUCGUUCUGGAAUCAUUGCUUAAUAACAUGAUUUUGGAAAAUGAACUACAAAGGAUUAAUGAAGGAUUGUGUGACUACCCUGUGUGGAUUGGGUCAAUUUCUUGCUGAAUAUGACAAUGUUGUCCAAUCUUCUGAGACUUCUAUGGCAAAACAACCUGAAGCUAUUCAUACUGCUUUGGCCACUGCGUUCCUUCAUUUCGGAAGGAUAACAUAUGCUGCCGUGCUGAAACUUAUGGGAAUCGUAAUGGAGCUUGAUUCAUCAGAAAAGAAUGCGGAUAUGCAAGGUCACACUACAAGGGCUGAUGGUGUGAGGUACUAGUUUCAUUAUUUUCUUUUCCCUCUAGUGUAUUCUCAGGCUUAGAUCCAGAAGCUGCAGGGUUAGAUCCCAGGCUUAGAUCCCAUGAUAGAUAUAUCAAAAUAAUUUUGGGUAGGACCAAAUUCAAAAAGAACAACAUAAAGAUAAAAAAAUUCUAAUGAGGAGAGAUCACUAUUCAAUAGAGAAAUCAUCAUUGUUGUAAUGAAUUUAGUGAUUCGAACAUAGUAAAAAGAAUGAAAUUAAACUAAAAAAGAAGAAAACCAAUCCUUAAGUCUUUUAAGCUGAAUGGUUCAAGUUCUUCUCCAAGAAACUUUGGCCACUGCGAUCUGGCUUGUGAAAGAGUUUUGUCCAACUGUUUCUCAAGAUUAUGCAACUCUUUUAAGCUGAAUGGUUCAAGUUCUUCUACAAGAAAAUUCCUUCAAAUUUCACACAAAAUUAAACCACAUAUCAAGAUAAGUUUUUAAAAAACAAGGUCUUGAUUUAACUAAUCUAAAUCAAAUUAACCUAUGGAAACGAUGAAGAGAUUCAUAUUUCGCUCUCAGCUCUGACACAUCCUCUAUCUGCAUUACCAACAUAUGCAUCAUCUGGUAAUGAUCUUUUGACGGUUUUUUUGUUUCUUUUUUACCUAUAAUUUCUUUAUGAACUUAUUCCCUACUUACUCUUAAGUUAACAAAAGUAGCUUUUUAUGGGGAAAGAGAUUGCAUCAGUUGAUGUUACUUCUGAUUGUUUUCUAUCAUAUAUCAGAGGAAGUAAAAGUUUGCAUUUGGCUGCCAUUCCUUCCCUUCUUACUAUAUAUGUUAGCUCAAUUUAGAGGAUGUAAAAGUUCCCAUUUUUGUGAGUUUGAUGGUGGUAUACAUAUUGCGGUUCUUUCAUGUUUUACUGACCUGUGCAUGUUCGUGAGACUCCACUUUAUUGUUGUAAUAUUAUCUACUUCUUGUAGAUUGACUCUACUAUUGGUAGUACUUAUUUUAGCUCAUGAAUCGGAGAUAAAGGAUGCGAAAUGCAACUUUAUUUGAAGCAAAAUUUCAUCCAAGGUCAUUGAGUUUCAAGCUUCUUUAGUCAAGGUCGUGUUUUGAACUAGAAUUGUAGUCUUAUGAUUUUUGGAAUAACAUAGUUGAACUGGUUUUGUAAUUUUGGAAUUAUCAUAUUAGGUUGGGUUGAUAGAAGUUUGUUUUGUAUAUGACAAUAUCGAACAAAUAUGUAAAGUUUUCGAAAUGUUGAUACA